GAACGCUGGCGGCGUGCCUAAUACAUGCAAGUCGAGCGGCUUUCUAUGGAAGCUUGCUUCCACUGAGAAGAUAGUGGCGAACGGGUGAGUAACACGUGGGUAACCUGCCCAUAAGAGGGGGAUAACAUCCGGAAACGGGUGCUAAUACCGCAUAGUUUUCUUGAUUGCAUGAUUGAGAAAGGAAAGACGGCCUUUGUGCUGUCGCUUAUGGAUGGACCCGCGGCGUAUUAGUUAGUUGGUGAGGUAACGGCUCACCAAGACGAUGAUACGUAGCCGACCUGAGAGGGUGAUCGGCCACAUUGGGACUGAGACACGGCCCAAACUCCUACGGGAGGCAGCAGUAGGGAAUCUUCCGCAAUGGACGAAAGUCUGACGGAGCAACGCCGCGUGAGUGAAAGAAGGUUUUCGGAUCGUAAAACUCUGUUGUCAGAGAAGAACAAGUUGGAGAGUAACUGCUCCAGCCUUGACGGUAUCUGACCAGAAAGCCACGGCUAACUACGUGCCAGCCGCCGC
rnacentral:rRNA from 1 species